UACGGGAGGCAGCAGUAGGGAAUAUUGGUCAAUGGACGCAAGUCUGAACCGGCCAUGCCGCGUGCAGGAAGACGGCCUUCUGGGUUGUAAACUGCUUUUCUCAGGGAAGAAAACGCUCUUGCGAGAGUACUUGCCGGUACCUGAGGAAUAAGCACCGGCUAACUCCGUGCCAGCAGCCGCGGUAAU
rnacentral:rRNA from 1 species